UUAGACUUUUUUCUCUUUUCCUUUUAGCAGAGCAGCACCUUCUUUUCUUUCUUUUUUCUAUUUUUAGAGUGUUCCAAAACUUUUUCAACUCAAAAUCAAAGAAGGUUUCACCAUUUUGAAGUAAUGUCUGAAGAUUUAUGACCAAAUCACGUGAAGAUCAAGUGGAGCCUACUACGUUUGAAUUUCAAAAUACUCCAAAUUCCCACUCAGCAAAUUCCUUGUUUCGUCCUAUAAAUUGGACUCUUUGUACUCGUUCUAGGGAGGUUUUUUUUCUUCACCCCUGCACAUGAAAACAACUACUUCUUCUCUUGAAAUUUUAGUUUUCUUUGCACUAGUUAAUUUGCUAAAAGCUCCAAGUAUUUAGAUCUGUUGCAAAAUCUCGAAUAUGAGCAUAGUUCGUAUUUGAGUGUGAUUUGGAGACCGAAAAUCCCCAUUCAUUGCCCCACAAUAGCAAAAAAUGAGUCUCUUCGAAAGACUCUCACUGCCGUAUGGUCUCUUGCUGCCACUAGACAUUGAAAAUGUGCAUCAUCUCUUUCACUCUGUGCUUCCGCUUCCUCGAAACCCAUACAAGAGCAAGCAAAUCUGGAAAAUUACUCCUCUCAUUUGUUUUAAUCGCUACUACUUAUAUUAUGUUUGCUUUUAUUAAUGAUACCUGAGAACCUAUAUUAUGUGACGUUUUUCUUGCUCUUUGAUUGC